rnacentral:rRNA from 1 species
UACAGAGGGUGCGAGCGUUGUUCGGAAUUACUGGGCGUAAAGCGCACGUAGGCGGAUUGUUAAGUCAGAGGUGAAAUCCCGGAGCUCAACUUCGGAACUGCCUUUGAUACUGGCAAUCUAGAGUCCGGAAGAGGUUAGUGGAAUUCCCAGUGUAGAGGUGAAAUUCGUAGAUAUUGGGAAGAACACCAGUGGCGAAGGCGGCUAACUGGUCCGGUACUGACGCUGAGGUGCGAAAGCGUGGGGAGCAAACAGG